rnacentral:tRNA from 1 species
CGGGAUGUAGCGCAGCCUGGCUAGCGCACCAGACUGGGGGUCUGGGGGCCGCGGGUUCGAAUCCCGCCAUCCCGACCA